GACGAACGCUGGCGGCGUGCUUAACACAUGCAAGUCGAACGGAAAGGCCCUGCUUUUGUGGGGUGCUCGAGUGGCGAACGGGUGAGUAACACGUGAGUAACCUGCCCUUGACUUUGGGAUAACUUCAGGAAACUGGGGCUAAUACCGGAUAGGAGCUCCUGCUGCAUGGUGGGGGUUGGAAAGUUUCGGCGGUUGGGGAUGGACUCGCGGAUUAUCAGCUUGUUGGUGGGGUAGUGGCUUACCAAGGCUUUGACGGGUAGCCGGCCUGGGAGGGUGACCGGCCACAGUGGGACUGAGAUACGGCCCCGACUCCUACGGGUGGCAGCAGUGGCGGAUAUGGCACAAUGGGCGGAAGCCUGAUGCAGCAACGCCGCGUGCGGGAUGGCGGCCUUCGGGUUGUAAUCCGCUUUCGCCUUUGACGGAGCGUGAGUGACGGUAAUGGGUAGAGAAGCACCGGCUAACUACGUG
rnacentral:rRNA from 1 species